rnacentral:rRNA from 1 species
AAAACUUACCAGGUCAAGACAUGGGCGUGAUUGACAGGCUAAUGACUUUUCUCGAUUCCAUGGAUGGUGGUGCAUGGUCGCACUUAGUUGGUGCAGUGAUUUGUCAGGUUUAUUCCGGUAACGAACGAGACCUCGGCCUUGUAAAUAGCUAUGCUGCUUACAGGGACAUUGGCGGCUACGCCAAGGAAGCUCGAGGCAAUUGCAGAUCUGGAAUGCCCUUAGAUGUCCUGGGUCGCACGCGUGCUACAAUGACGCCACGAACGAGCUUGCGUGAUGAAAGUUACGCAUAAUCAGCAGUCGGCGUCUUAAGGGAUAGUCUCUUGUAACUGUGGGACUCCAACUAGGAAUGUCUCGUAAGCACAAGUCAACAUCUUGUGUUGAUUACGUCCCUGCUCUUUGUACACACCGCCCGUCGCUCCUACCGAUCGAGUGUUUAGGUGAAUUUGAUGGACGUAAGGAAGUCAAAUAAACCUGAGCACUAGAGAAGAGAAGUCGAAAUC